rfam:Clostridiales bacterium 38_11 MPI_scaffold_289, whole genome shotgun sequence.
AGGAGCCGUGUACGGCAAACGUACGCACGGUUCUGUGAGAGCAAAGAAAGUUGGACUAAUUAUCCAACUUUCUAGCUACUCGAU